rnacentral:rRNA from 1 species
ACCUAGCCCGCGCCCCCGCAACGCCCGUCGCCGCCUCCUCUCCUGCCGCCGCCGCCGCCUCCUCUCCUGCCGCCGCCGCCGCCUCCUCUCCUGCCGCCGCCGCCGCCGCCUCCUCUUCGUCGGUGCUAUCGAAGCCUGGGCUACGUGAGCGCGCGAGCCGCUGGUGAUGCUCGAGGCGUGACCGUUGGGCCGGGGACAGGUGCGCGCGCUCGCCGCGACGGGAACGAGAGUUGUCCCCACUCCUUCUGUUCCCCAUCGCCGGCCUCCUCUCAGCCUUGGCCUCGUUGCUCACGGGAGAGAGAGAGAGAGAGAGAGAGAGGAGGAGAAGGAGGCGGCGGCGGCCGCGGCGGCCAGAAGGAAUGAGGGGGUCGGGGCGUUGGUUCUCCCCGACACCAUCUGGCCUUCUCCCCGUCUCAGUCGUGUGGUCUCGACGACGCCGCCCUCACGCUCCUUCUCCUCCGCGUCGACAGGACUCUCUCUAGCCUCUCGCUCCACCUCCUCGCACACUCCUGCAGAUUAUCUUGGCAAUCAAGCCAACAAAUCAAAAGGAGACAAAGGAAAAUGUGUGACCAAAGGAGUCAAGCAAAAGCACACCAAGCAAAUCACCACCAUUGAAGUUUCAGCAUCUGUUUUUCGUAGUUGGACUAAAUCCGAUUAGAAGGAGAUGGUGCCCAGCGAUGGGGUGCUUGGCCGCUGCCGCCGCCUAGGAUGACCUCUUCGUCGGUGCUAUCGGGAGCCUGUGCUACGUGCCUGACGAGAACUCCGCGAGCAGGUGCAGAGGAGCAAGUUUUGGUUGGAAUUGAAAUUCCUGAAAGCAAGGCAACUGAAUGGAUUAAAGCUUGAAAGCUCAUACCUGGAUGGUUUUUGUCACACCAAAAUGAAGUAUAAGAAAACCUUAUAAAAGAAGAAACAUACCUGUCUGGGCGUCCUUGCUAUCGUCGUUUCCAACCCGUCCGCAGGGUCUGCUGCUCUUGGGUGCCCUUUUGGGUAAUGGUCUAGCUGUUUCCUUGCAUCCAUGUUGCUGCAGGGUUGUAGUCGUACCCGUGGCCAUGGUUAUUACUCAUCAACUUGGUCGUGCUCAUGUGGACUAUUUAUUUCCAACAACGCCAUCAAACCAUCAGAGGUUCCUCGCCGGUUUCCUUUUGCUGCACCUUUGUUUGGUUGCUCUAGGGUGAGAGAACCUCUCUGCGUCUGUAUGCUGAUUUGGUCAUGGAAUUCGAGCCUCAUUUACUGCACCUCCGGCAAUGAAGGAUCAGUACACGCCCAAUCUUUCGUGGCCUCCUCUCACAAGAACUUCUACAUCGCUGGUUGGAUUGGAUAUUCACAGAACUUGAUAUCAUAUACUUUGGGCAUUGCUGAAACAACUGAAUGUCAAAGCUACAUGCUUUCUUUUGAUUGUUGUAGCCAUCCUUCAUCGCCAGAGCCAUGGGGUGCCUAUGGGCUGUCCAUUUGUGUGGAUGUAUUUAGCUGUGGCGUUUAUGGCAGCUGCAGCAGCUUGUCAAUUAGUUCUUAGUCAAGGACAGUUAUAUGUGUGGUGUGAAGAUGGUCGUUCUUCAAUUUGAAAGUAAACAAGCGGCCUCCAUUAAGGUCUACCGACAAUCAUGUAGUUUGGAUUACUCUGGGCAAUUCUCUCCGGAGUUGAGAGUACUCUGAGCACUGCCCAUAGCGUGCCACGACGACCGUUUGCACUAUAGGUGCCUCGCGACGCAGUCCUCAUAUGAGAAGUGGGGAUUCCACCAGCAUUCUCACAAAUAGGUGCAAUAUGAAAUGGAAAGGUGUUCGCCUGGCUUCUCUUGGCUGACAGGCUGAAUAUGAAUAUGCUACGCAGGAGGCACUACAGAGUUGCUAAUGACUAUACAUGCCUGUUGUGUGAUAAUCCUCCCGAGGAAACCCUGGCAAUUCGCUAGGGUGACUUGGCCAAACUCUGAAUGUAGACUUGAGAUGUUGCACAUGGGAAAACAAACUUGGCACAAACCCCUGUUCAUGGAAACUUUCAUUGUUGCCGUAUGGGGAUCUGGAUGGAGAGAAAUGACAAGUCCUUCAGAGGAAUGCCCAUGCAAGUAUUAUCCAACAAUAACAAGUCUACUUAUUCAUGCAUGCACACCCUCAGAAGACCACAGUCGGCCUAAGAAAUCUUCUCUGCUCAAACUAUGCAUGCUUAUCUAUAUAAGGCAUCUCUGCCUAUGUUGCUUGCUUUUUGAAAGCAUUGUAAAUGGCUAUCAAAACUUCUUAUAAUGCUAUGUAUCAGCAUCAUACCGAAGUAUAUAUUUCUUUAUGACUAAAUAUUCU